UACCACAGGCAACCAACCUCGCUCUAAGUCAAGUCAACGUUGUCGUCCCUCCAUACAAGUGCAACGAGCCAACUUCCAAGUUAAUUCCAACCUCCUUACGAAUGGAGUUCGAGCUAGCCUUCCCGAUCGGUUGCUGUUCGUCGCCAAACUACCAAAGUGCACACGACGCCAUUGACCUCCUUCGAUCUCUCUCCAGAUGUCGUGGCCAUAAGCGUUGGAGUACCACACACUAGCUCAGUCGCCAUGCGGGGACUUCGAGGCCUCCUGGUACGUUAAGUAUGCUGGCGUUCACUUGAUUGCUCGGGAUGAGACUCCAUUGAGGUCACGGAAGAGUCCUACCAUGUCGUCAAGUCUUUUCAUGGCACAAACUUCUAGGAGAGAACUAGCUCUUCCUGGAAACAUUCCCGGACGGGUCCAAAUGGGAGGCACGGGACAAUGCCAUCUAGGUGCGUCUUCGAGACGCCAAUGAAGGGUUCAUGGAAACCCACCGGCAGAUCACCGAGCCUAGGGUUCACGCCGAGCGUCCUGCUAACUUGGGGCACGGUCCCAGGCAGCGACUGCCUGCGUUCUUGGUGCAACCGGAGAGCCAGGACUUCCGUGCCCUCGCCUUGCGCCCUACAUGGAGCAGCUCUUGAUCAAGAAGUGCAAGCUGAAGAGAAAUGGCCCGCUAGUGAAGGUGGCCUUCUACAUGGGCGAGCGCUCCGAGCACAAGGUGCAACUUCAGUGGAAGUCCGAGCGCUCGGCUUCAUCAAGUCAUGGAGCAAGUUUGUCAGGAAGGCUGAGCUUUGGGUCAACGACACGCUCGUCUUCACCCCUUCCGACGAUGGCUUCCAUGUCGGUAUAGGAAGGAGAGUUCAUGCUCGAGAAUUUGGAGCUGCAAGAAGCACCGCCAAGGACCUUAUACUGAUCCUUGCCAUUAAGGUUGUAUGCUUAUUCUCUGUCUCUGCUUUUGUGAAGUUAUUGUUAUUGUGCAGGCCUCAUUAGGCUCUUCAACACUUGCUUUUGUGCAUACAUGCAUGUAAUCUUGGCCUCUACAGGCUGCUGAACAAUGCUUUUGGACCUGGGUAGUCUGCCCUUAGGGUUAAGUAGGCGUCUUACCACUCUAAUGCUA